GAGCAGCCGUCACGUCUGAUUAACUCACUAUUAGCCAUAACCCUCAUAAUCCGGGAUAUUAUUUCGACACAUCGUUUUUGGGUCGUUCUCGGUGAGUGACAAAGUCCCACAGUUGGGACUAAGAAGCAGCCAUGGAUGUUAUGAGCCAGUUGCAGAGACAGUGGCUUGAACACUCGGCUUUUCUGCGUAAGGAGGGAUAUUUGGACGACCAGUUUGAACAACUUCAGAAACUGCAAGACGAGAGCAGCCCAGAUUUUGUGAUCGAGGUUGUGUCUAUUUUCUUUGAUGAUUCUGAAAAACUCCUCAGCAAUAUGGCCAGAGCUCUAGAACAGAAAGUUGUGGAUUUCAAACAGGUAGAUGCCCAUGUUCAUCAGUUCAAGGGGAGUAGUGCCAGCAUCGGUGCCAUGAGAGUUAAAAAUGUGUGCAUCGAGUUCAGAAAUUACUGUGAGGCACAGAACCUUGAAGAGUGUUUGAGAUGUACACGGAAACUGCAAUUUGAAUACUCUGUACUGAAAAACCAGCUUGAAUAUUUAUUCAGGCUGGAGCAACAGAUCCGAGCUGCUGGUGGGUAGUCUUGAUCUUAUCCCAUGAAGGCUGGAAAAAGAAGUGAAGGAUUUGAUGUUACAGAUUAUUUAUAUUAAUGUAGAAAGUAUAUUCUCAGACUUACGAAGAUUUAUGUUGAAAGCUUCUACGAGAGAAAAAUGCUAAUGGGAAUUUUCAUUUGCAAGCCUCCAAGAAUCACAGGUUCAUGUUAGCAAUUAACUUUUAUAUACACUGCACAAAUUCAUGGCACUAAAGGUGAUUGAAAGCAGUGUAGAAUUUUAUAAUGGCUGUGGUCCUGAGACGGUUGUAACAAUUGCAGCAGCUUGCUCAGUUAUUGAGCAUGCUACCAAGGUCAUGAUGGUCCCAUUUUAAUGGGAUGUUUCUCUAGAUAUACAUCUAUAGUAUAAUUUUCUUUGUUAGUUCCUUACCAGGGCAUCUUGUUAAUUACCUGACAUUUCUGGAUGGAGUGAUUGACCUUUAGUUCAAGUGCCUAAAUGAUGGAGAUUUGACUCAGAAAAUCUCAAAUAACAACCAGCUGAGGAAUA